CCCUGCCUCUUCACAGAAAGUCUACAACCGUAAUGUCCCAGAAAUCUUUGCUCUGACAUUUAUUCUGAGUUUUCCUUUCAUUAAUCCACUCUUCGUGCAUUAUGAUUUAGAUCUACCUCUUCGUUCACCCUGUAACCGCCUCGAACUCCAUCUAUAAAUAUCGGCCCUCACUUCCAUUCACAGCACAUCUCAAACAAUUUUCUCAAACAUACGAUCUCCUAGAAGCAACAUAUUCAGAUGGCGAAUUCUCUCUGCAAGGUUCUACACUCCAAGCUGUGAGAUUUCCUUAUGAACGGUGGUCGCAAAUUUGAUUCCGUACAAAAAAAAAGCAGCAGCCGAAGAAAGGUUCACGAGGUAAAGGCUUAAAGAAGGUUCAAAGGUUCAUUGUGCAGAUCAUAAGAUCAUUUGGCUGACUCAACAUUGAGAACUGAAACUUCACAUAAGAUCAUUUUUACCUAAUUAAUAUG